UAUUGCGCAAUGGGCGAAAGCCUGACGCAGCAACGCCGCGUGAGUGAUGAAGGCCUUCGGGUCGUAAAGCUCUGUCGGAGGGAACGAAUGCUUUCGGGGUUAACAGCCCCGGAAAGUGACGGUACCCUCAAAGGAAGCACCGGCUAACUCCGUGCCAGCAGCCGCGGUAAUACGGAGGGUGCAAGCGUUAAUCGGAAUUACUGGGCGUAAAGCGCACGUAGGUGGUUUGGUAAGUCGGAUGUGAAAUCCCCGGGCUCAACCUGGGAAUGGCAUUCGAGACUGUCAAGCUAGAGUCUGGUAGAGGGUGGUGGAAUUCCAGGUGUAGCGGUGAAAUGCGUAGAUAUCUGGAGGAACAUCAGUGGCGAAGGCGGCCACCUGGACUGAGACUGACACUGAGGUGCGAAAGCGUGGGUAGC
rnacentral:rRNA from 1 species